rnacentral:rRNA from 1 species
AUGGAGGUGGGCGACCUGCACAAGGUGUGGGAGAUCCGGGCGCUCAAGCGGAAGCCCGAGGAGCCGGCGGCCCGCGCGCUCCUCAACCGCGUCGCCAAGCAGGUCCAGCCCAUCAUGCGCCGCCGCAAGUGGCGCGUCAAGGUCCUCUCCGAGUUCUCGCCCAAGAACCCGAGGCUGCUGGGGCUCAACGUCAACCGGGGCGUCGAGGUGAAGCUGCGGCUCCGGCGCGACGGCCGGGACCUCGACUUCAUCCCCUACGAGGAGGUGCUCGACACCAUGCUCCACGAGCUCGCGCACAACGCGCGCGGGCCCCACGACGCGCAGUUCUACAAGCUCUGGGACGAGCUCCGCAAGGUCCGUAUCUUCAUGUUUCUGCUCUUGUAUCGGUGCUUGAAAUGUCUACGAUUCCACCUGUAUAGCGGCUCACUAAUGUCAGUGUAUGUAUAUAUCCGGUUGCUUGGAAUAUGUUGCUUGUGUGCACUAGGCUAUAAGAAUGCAGAUGUUGUGCAUAUUCCCUUGCAACCUAGCCCGUUUACUGAAAGCUUGGUUCAAUUGAUUUUGGGGUUAACGACAUUUAACCUGAAAUUUUCUUUAACAGUACAACGGAUGGGGCUGUUAAAUAUGAGAUUCCAAUUGUGGCAGUGCAUUGCAAAAUAACUAUUUGAGGUAUAUAUGGCAUGCCAUCUAUGACUAUGAUGCAUGCAGUUCCUCCCAGAGUGUUCCUCUCCAGCUACCAGGCCUUUCGAUGGAUGUUACUCUGCGCAGGUUAACCAAUUAAUUGAACCACAAGGAUAGAGAUCUACACUCUAUUCAACAAUUUUCUCGAGAAGUUUGAUUUGUAUUCGAUAUUUCAUGGACUUAAAUAAUCUCUAUCUGUAAACACAUUGGUUUCUUUCAUCCAGUGAACCCAGGGAAGUCAUUCAUUUGUGAUGCCAUGGAAGUAUUGUUUGAAGUUUCCUUGCUGUCAAGACUUUUUUUUCAACAUCUAUGAGGUGGCAAGCAAGGUAACUGCAGUUCAUAUCAGGUAUAAUGUGAAUGUAGGUCCAUCAUCUCAUCAUCCUUUACGCCCUUUCUUUCCCUAAUAUUUUACAGCAAACCAACAGAUCAGCUAACCACAAGCUUAGUACGUGGUAUACUGCAUAAAUAUCUAGCUUGGUAGAAAGCAUGGUCAGUAGAGUGUUUUCUAACCAUGCACUAGCAGUGCCCACUCCAUGCUACUGUUAUGUACACAGACGAGAAGUUUGUUUGAGAAAGAGUAUGCUUGCUGCCUUUCAUCUAAUAUCAUAUGUUUCUGUUUCCUAUGUGAAACUGAUGGUUCACGUCUCUAACUUCUACUGCUUUAUAGCUUUGCACAAAAGUUUUUGUAACCAUGAUGCUGAUAUACCUAUGAUUGUUACUUCAUGUGCUACUACAUUAGUAGGGAGAUUUUUAUAAAGGUACCAGAAUUUAUCUUCUUCCACAUUAAGUCAAUAUUUAGUAAUGGAGUUCUAUUUUUGUUUGCAAACCAGUUCAUUCGUCGCAAGGAAGAAAAUCUACUCUGGAUAGUUGAUUUAGUGUUUCUUGAACAUGGCCAGGGCAAUGGAUAAAAUCUACUCUGGAUAGUUGACAGAGGGAGUACAUGCUAAGUUGACUUUUUUUCCUGUGGAUUUGCUUAUCGUGAAGAUGCUUGCAAGGAUGCAGAGGGAGCGGAUCAUUUGGAGAGAUAGGAUGCCACUGUUUGGUGUUUUUAUGCAUUUUGGUUUGCUUGUAACUGUGUUUGCACUAGCUGGGAGUAAGUGACUUCAAGAAGUGUAGGUGUUUUAAUUGAAGGCAUGAAAAGCCAUGACAAUAUGUAUGCUCUUACAGGAUGUGCUCUAAUGCUGCUGGUUUAUUAUAAAUCUUG